rnacentral:tRNA from 1 species
GGCGGGAAGUAGACUGGCGUCUAAGGUCGUCUCAUAAGCGAUCUAUGGUGGGUUCGAUCCCCACUCCCGCUA